rnacentral:rRNA from 1 species
GAUGAACGCUGGCGGCGUGCCUAAUACAUGCAAGUCGAGCGAACAGAUGAGGAGCUUGCUCCUCUGACGUUAGCGGCGGACGGGUGAGUAACACGUGGAUAACCUACCUAUAAUACUGGGAUAACUUCGGGAAACCGGAGCUAAUACCGGAUAAUAUAUUGAACCGCAUGGUUCAAUAGUGAAAGACGGUUUUGCUGUCACUUAUAGAUGGAUCCGCGCCGCAUUAGCUAGUUGGUAAGGUAACGGCUUACCAAGGCAACGAUGCGUAGCCGACCUGAGAGGGUGAUCGGACACACUGGAACUGAGACACGGUCCAGACUCCUACGGGAGGCAGCAGUAGGGAAUCUUCCGCAAUGGGAGAAAGCCUGACGGAGCAAAGCCGCGUGAGUGAUGAAGGUCUUCGGAUCGUAAAACUCUGUUAUUAGGGAAGAACAAAUGUGUAAGUAACUAUGCACGUCUUGACGGUACCUAAUCAGAAAGCCACGGCUAACUACGUG